CAAAAACAUGUCCUUUUGUUUUUAAUUUAAGGUCUGACCUGCCCACUGAAAAUUUUAAAUGGCCGCAGUAUUUUAACUGUGCAAAGGUAGCAUAAUCAUUAGUCUUUUAAUUGAAGGCUGGUAUGAAUGGUUGGACGAAAUAUAUACUGUUUCAUAUAAAAUUUUAAAUAGAAUUUUAUUUUUUAGUUAAAAAGCUAAAAUUAUGUUGAAAGACGAGAAGACCCUAUAGAUCUUUAUAAUUAUAUUAUUUAUUAUUAUUUAGAUUUUUUUGUUAAUAAUUAUUAUAAUUUUUUUGUUGGGGUGACAUUAAAAUUUAUUUAACUUUUAAUAUUAUAGAUACAUUUGUUUAUGAUUAAAUGAUCCAUUAUUAGUGAUUAAAAAAUUAAGUUACCUUAGGGAUAACAGCGUAAUCUUUUUAAAGAGUUCUUAUCGAUAAAAAGGAUUGCGACCUCGAUGUUGGAUUAAAAUAAAAAUUGGGUGUAGCAGCUCAGUUAUUUAAGUCUGUUCGA
rnacentral:rRNA from 1 species